UACAGGGGGGGCAAGCGUUGUUCGGAAUUACUGGGCGUAAAGGGCCUGUAGGCGGCCAACUAAGUCACACGUGAAAUCCCCGGGCUUAACCCGGGAACUGCGUGUGAUACUGGAUGGCUUGAAUUCGGGAGAGGGAUGCAGAAUUCCAGGUGUAGCGGUGAAAUGCGUAGAUAUCUGGAGGAAUACCGGUGGCGAAGGCGGCAUCCUGGACCGACAUUGACGCUGAACGGCGAAAGCUAGGGGAGCAAACGGG
rnacentral:rRNA from 1 species